rnacentral:misc_RNA from 1 species
GUACUCUCAAGCUAAGCUUGGUGUUGGGUGUUUGUCCACUCCCUCGUGUUUGGACUCGCCUUAAAACCAUUGGCAGCCAGUGUUUUGGUAUUGAAGCGCAGCACAAUUUGCGAUCCAAGCCCAUGAAUACUAGCAACCAUGAAGUCCAUUUUUAACG